UACAGAGGUCUCGAGCGUUAGGCGGAAUCACUGGGCUUAAAGCGUGUGUAGGUGGAUCGGUAAGUACCUUGUGAAAUCCCACGGCUUAACCGUGGAACUGCUUGGUAUACUGCCAGUCUUGAGCCAGCUAGGGGCUACCGGAACAAAUGGUGGAGCGGUGAAAUGCGUAGAUAUCAUUUGGAACGCCAAUGGUGAAAACAGGUAGCUGGGGCUGUGCUGACGCUGAUGUGCGAAAGCUAGGGGAGCGAACGGG
rnacentral:rRNA from 1 species